GCCUGUCCUUCUGCUCCCUGGGAGAGGCUCAGGCUGAGGACACCUGCAGAAAGCACGCGGGUCACCCCUGCUGCAGCGGGGAGCGCGCACAGCUGCAGGCAAAGGCAAACUUGGCGUCAGAGGCACGAACAGGUUGGAAUCGUGAGGCCUACUGUGAUGGUGUCAGGAGGGGGCCUUUGGAGUUUUGCAGGUCACGAGGGUGGAGCCCCAGGAUGGGAUUAGCGCCCUUUUAAGAGAGACUGCACGGAGCUCCCAGCCCCUCCCACCAUGUGAGGACACGGGGAAGCGGGGACGUCACUGGACACCGCCCCUGCCAGGGCCUUGACCUUGGACUUCAGUCUCCAGGACCUUGAGAAAUCAGUGUGUGUUAUUUAAAACCCCAGUCAGUGCUACAGAACAGAGUAACACACUCGCUAUGUGACCUUGGACGACCACUCGAUCUUUCUUCCGCCUCUCUUCGUCCGAAAAGUGGAAAUUCACGUAUCCCUCAGCAAGCAUCUACUGAGCACCUGUCACGUAUGAGGCACCGCGUGCUGGCCACGACAGUGAUUUCCUCAGAUCUGGGGGAGGAAGGGACCCAGGAGUGCGGCAAGUUCACGGGUGGAAGACGAGGUGAUAAAACAGGUGUGCUGAUGGGGCUUUGCUAAUCCCGGCACCUGGGAGUGAGCUGCGGGCCAUGCACCCUUUGGUGUGUCCUUCAGAACCACACGAUGAACCAGCGAGGGGCAGGAUCUGAGGGUCGUGACAGCUCUUUCCCAGGCUCGAGUCCUUCUACGCCGCCUCCCAGCUCCCAGGGUGCCCUGCAACCUCCUGAAUUGACCCGUUUCAGCGUGACA